rnacentral:rRNA from 1 species
AUUGAACGCUGGCGGCAGGCCUAACACAUGCAAGUCGAACGAGUGGCGGACGGGUGAGUAAUGUCUGGGAAACUGCCUGAUGGAAGGGGAUAAAUACUGGAAACGGUAGCUAAUACCGCAUACCAUCAGAUGUACCCCGAAGGUAUGCGCUGGUUGGUGGGGUAACGGCUCACCAAGGCGACGAUCCCUAGCUGGUCUGAGAGGAUGACCAGCCACACUGGAACUGAGACACGGCCCAGACUCCUACGGGAGGCAGCAGUGGGGAAUAUUGCACAAUGGGCGCAAGCCGGAUGCAGCCAUGACGCGUGAGUGAAGAAGGUCUUCGGGUUGUAAAGCACUUUUAUCGGGGAGGCGUUAUCCACAGAAGAAGCACCGGCUAACGCCGUGCCAGCAGCCGCGGUAAUAC